CAGAAAGCUGCAGAAUUAUCCAAUAUGAAGUUCUACGCAUUCGCUCUUGUUCUUGCCCUCUUCUUUAUCUGCGAGGUAUCUACCCAAGAAGCCGAAAGUCGCGGCAAAUGCACCAGCGGAAGCGGUAGCAACGGAAAUAGCAACGGCAGCAACGGAAAUAGCAAUGGAAAUAGCAAUGGAAACAACGCGCAAGGUGGAAAUGGGGGCACAGGCACAAAUCCGAACUCAGUUUAAUGUUCUUCUGGUUUAAUUUUUGAAGUGAAAUAAAAUUGAUCUGCUCUUUA